rnacentral:rRNA from 1 species
GAUGAACGCUGGCGGCGUGCCUAAUACAUGCAAGUCGAGCGAACGGACGUGGUGCUUGCUUCUCUUUUGUUAGCGGCGGACGGGUGAGUAACACGUGGAUAACCUGCCUUUAAGCCUGGGAUAACUUCGGGAAACGGAUGCUAAUACCGGAUAAUAUCUUGAAACAUAUGGUUUAAGAGUGAAAGACGCAAUUGCAUUACCUUAUGAUGAUCUCGCCUCUGAUUAGCCAAGUUGGUAAGGAAACGCCCUACAAAGGCAAGAAUGCUUAGCGGCCUGAAAAGGGGGAUCGCCCACAUUGGAACGGGGACACGGUCCAGACUCCUACGGGAGGCAGCAGAAGGGAAUCUCCGGCAAUGGGCGAAAGCCUGACGGAGCAACGCCGCGGGGGUGAGGAAGGUCUUCGGAUCGUAAAACCCGGUGAUUAGGGAAGAACAUAGGCGUAAUUAACUGUGCACAUCGUGACGGUACCUAAUCAGAAAGCCACGGCUAACUACGUG